CUAAGAAUAUCCCGCAAUGGACGGAAGUCUGACGGAGCGACGCCGCGUGGAUGACGAAGGCCGAAAGGUUGUAAAGUUCUUUUGCUGGGGAAGAAUAACCGCAGGAGGGAAUGCCUGUGGGAUGACAAGAACCGGCGAAUAAGCCCCGGCCAACUACGUGCCAGCAGCCGCGGUAACACGUAGGGGGCGAGCGUUGUUCGGAAUUACUGGGCGUAAAGGGCAUGUAGGCGGCUUGGAAAGCCUGGCGUGAAAGUCUGCAGCUUAACUGCAGGGGUGCGCUGGGAACUGCUGAGCUUGAGUGACGGAGAGGGAGCUGGAAUUCCUGGUGUAGGGGUGAAAUCUGUAGAUAUCAGGAAGAACACCGAUGGCGAAGGCGAAGCUCCUGGCCGAUGACUGACGCUGAGGUGCGAAAGUGUGGGGAUCAAACAGGAUUAGAUACCCUGGUAGUCCACACAGUCAACGAUGUGCACUAGGUGCUGGGGCGGUAGCUUCGGUGCCGGAGCGAACGUGGUAAGUGCACCGCCUGGGGAGUAUGCUCGCAAGGGUGAAACUUAAAUGAAUUGACGGGGUCAUAGCUGUUUCCU
rnacentral:rRNA from 1 species